CUGGCUCAGUCGACAGGUGAGUAACGUAUAGGAAUCUGCCCGAUAGUGGGGGAUAACCUGGGGAAACUCAGGCUAAUACCGCAUACGUCCUACGGGAGAAAGCAGGGGAUCUUCGGACCUUGCGCUAUCGGAUGAGCCUAUGUCGGAUUAGCUUGUUGGUGAGGUAAUGGCUCACCAAGGCGACGAUCCGUAGCUGGUCUGAGAGGAUGAUCAGCCACAUCGGGACUGAGACACGGCCCGAACUCCUACGGGAGGCAGCAGUGGGGAAUAUUGGACAAUGGGCGAAAGCCUGAUCCAGCCAUGCCGCGUGUGUGAAGAAGGCUUUCGGGUUGUAAAGCACUUUCAGUGAGGAAGAACGCCUUCGGCUUAAUACGCCGGAGGAAAGACAUCACUCACAGAAGAAGCACCGGCUAACUCCGUGCCAGCAGCCGCGGUAAUACGGAGGGUGCGAGCGUUAAUCGGAAUUACUGGGCGUAAAGCGCGCGUAGGUGGCUUGAUAAGCCGGUUGUGAAAGCCCCGGGCUCAACCUGGGAACGGCAUCCGGAACUGUCAGGCUAGAGUGCAGGAGAGGAAGGUAGAAUUCCCGGUGUAGCGGUGAAAUGCGUAGAGAUCGGGAGGAAUACCAGUGGCGAAGGCGGCCUUCUGGACUGACACUGACACUGAGGUGCGAAAGCGUGGGUAGCAAACAGGAUUAGAUACCCUGGUAGUCCACC
rnacentral:rRNA from 1 species